GUCUUUUUGUUUAUAAUAUAAAGUCUAAUCUGCUCACUGAGUAUUUAAAGAGCCGCAGUAUACUGACUGUGCAAAGGUAGCAUAAUCAAUAGUUUUUUAAUUGAAAACUUGUAUGAAAGAUUGGACGAGAAAUUAGCUUUCUUUAUCUUACUAAAUUGAAUUUUAGUUUUAAGUGAAAACGCUUAAAUAAAUUUAAAAGACGAGAAGACCCUAUAGAUUUUUAUUGUUGGAUAAAGUUUUAUAUUUUCUACUUUUAAAGAUAAUUUAACUGGGGCGAUUUUGUAAAAUAAAAAACUUAAUUAAUUGAAACCAUAAGUUAUUGAAUAUUUUGGUCUAAAAUUUUUAAAGAAAAGAUUAAAUUACCUUAGGGAUAACAGCGUAAUUUUAUUUAAGAGUUCAUAUCUAUAAUAAAGCUUGCGACCUCGAUGUUGAAUUAAGAUAAUAUAUUGGAGCAGAAAUUAAUAUAAUUAGUCUGUUCGACUAUUAAAUUCU
rnacentral:rRNA from 1 species